AGAGUUUGAUCCUGGCUCAGGAUGAACGCUGGCGGCGUGCUUAACACAUGCAAGUCGAACGAAGCUGUUAAAAGGAAGCCUUCGGGUGAAAUUUUAAUAGACUUAGUGGCGGACGGGUGAGUAACGCGUGGAUAACCUGCCUUAUACAGGGGGAUAACGGAGAGAAAUUUCCGCUAACACCGCAUAAGACCACAGCACCGCAUGGUGCAGGGGUAAAAUAUUUAUAGGUAUAAGAUGGAUCCGCGUCCGAUUAGCUAGUUGGUGAGGUAAAGGCCCACCAAGGCGACGAUCGGUAGCCGGCCUGAGAGGGUGAACGGCCACAUUGGGACUGAGACACGGCCCAAACUCCUACGGGAGGCAGCAGUGGGGAAUAUUGGACAAUGGGGGAAACCCUGAUCCAGCGACGCCGCGUGAGUGAAGAAGUAUUUCGGUAUGUAAAGCUCUAUCAGCAGGGAAGAAAAUGACGGUACCUGACUAAGAAGCCCCGGCUAACUACGUGCCAGCAGCCGCGGU
rnacentral:rRNA from 1 species